rnacentral:misc_RNA from 1 species
AUAAAGACCUGGUUGAAAACUUAAGCAGACCAAGCAAUGAAUCUAAAGAGCUAAGCUUUCCAACCAAGUAUUCCCGGUCAUUUCUCACCCAAUAUCUUGCUUGCCUCUGGAAGCAGAAUCUAUCAUAUUGGAGGAAUCCUCAAUAUACAGCUGUUCGUUUUUUCUAUACUGUCAUCAUAUCUUUGAUGUUCGGAACAAUCUGUUGGGGAUUUGGUUCCAAAAG